UUAAUAUAAUCUAGUAAUAGUAUUUCAUUGUUGAUGAAAAGGUGGAGUGAAGCUCAUAUUAAG
rnacentral:tRNA from 1 species